CCCACAGGGGUGCUGGAACAGCUACGGUCCAUGGUGGAAGACUCUGAGGACGCCGCUCCAGGGCUACAGCCUGUAUAGUCCAUGCCCUCGUCUGUCUCGGCAUCCAUUAGGCUCGGGGGACCCUGGAAGAAAGGAGAGGGGCCCUAAGUUCUGGACUGUCUCAGCUGUCUACGGAGGGCCCAGACUGGAGGUGACAGCAACCUCCAGGAACUCCAAAGGCCCCUACCACCGUGAGCACAUGACCAGGAGAGGCCUGCCCGGUAGACACCACAUCUAUCCACCCGCCCUUACCUAUCUUCCAGCUUCCGGUCCAUUCCUAGGAAAACUCUGCCCCACAUCUGCAGGUCUAUAGAAGCUUGCCCUGGGCCUAAAUUUGCCUCUGCCUGUGGGCCUGAGGCUCUUCUCUAUAGGGCCAGAGCAGGAAGGUAUCCGAGAGGCAUCGAAAGACACCCGCUGCCAAGCUCAGAAGCACCCAGAGACUCCGUCUCUCGCACAUCACAUACCUCAGUUUUUGUAAGCAUGUGCUAAAGGCUUUACAAAGUAAAUAAAUAACUGAAAUGGC
rnacentral:lncRNA from 1 species